UUGUCUCAAAGAUUAAGCCAUGCAUGUCUCAGUACAAGCCACAUUAAGGUGAAACCGCGAAAGGCUCAUUAAAUCAGUUAUGGUUCCUUAGAUCGUACCCACAUUUACUUGGAUAACUGUGGUAAUUCUAGAGCUAAUACAUGCAAACAGAGUUCCGACCGGAGACGGGAGGAAUGCUUUUAUUAGAUCAAAACCAAUCGGCGGCGGGCCUCGGUCCGUUCGCCGCUCAACUUGGUGACUCUGAAUAACUUUCGGCUGAUCGCACGGUCUCGCACCGGCGACGCAUCUUUCAAAUGUCUGCCUUAUCAACUGUCGAUGGUAGGUUCUGCGCCUACCAUGGUCGUAACGGGUAACGGGGAAUCAGGGUUCGAUUCCGGAGAGGGAGCCUGAGAAACGGCUACCACAUCCAAGGAAGGCAGCAGGCGCGCAAAUUACCCACUCCCGGCACGGGGAGGUAGUGACGAAAAAUAACGAUACGGGACUCAUCCGAGGCCCCGUAAUCGGAAUGAGUACACUUUAAAUCCUUUAACGAGGAUCAAUUGGAGGGCAAGUCUGGUGCCAGCAGCCGCGGUAAUUCCAGCUCCAAUAGCGUAUAUUAAAGUUG
rnacentral:rRNA from 1 species